GACGAACGCUGGCGGCGUGCUUAACACAUGCAAGUCGAACGGAAAGGCCUGCUUUCCCUUGUGGAUUGCGGGUACUCGCGUGGCGAACGGGUGAGUAACACGUGAGUGAUCUGCCCCCAACUUGGGUAUAAGCCUGGGAAACUGGGUCUAAUUCCCGAUAGGACUGCAGGGUGGUGUCUGUGGUGGAAAACGAUUUUCUAGUGGUUGGGGAUGAGCUCGCGGCCUAUCAGCUUGUUGGUGGGGUAAUGGCCUACCAAGGCGGCGACGGGUAGCCGGCCUGGGAGGGUGGGCCGGAGAAUUUGGACUGAGACACGGCCCCGACGCCUACGGGAAGCAGCAGUGGGGAGUAAGGCGCGGGGGGCGGAAGCCUGAUGCAGGGAGGCCGCGUGGGGGAUGACGGGUUUCGGGUGGUAACCUCCUGUCGACAGCGAGGAAGCCACAUGGUUGGAAGGGUGGUGACGGUAGUGGUAGAAGAAGCACCGGCUAACUACGUG
rnacentral:rRNA from 1 species